AUCGCCGGCUUUGUCUUUGCUCCUUCCGUACUCUCUGUCUUUGAUUUGCAGUUCGUCGGCGUCCGUUGAUCGCGUCGGUGUUUAGUAACGGGGAUUCGAUCCGUGCCUUUUGCGCUUGAUUUCAAGUUUUCGGCUUUUUUGUGGGUGCUCUGGAUGGAGAUGAGUGCUACUUAAUAAUCAAGCAAUCGGGGAUCUCUCUUUUAUCCAAGGGUUGAAGAAGUGGUUCUUGAUUUGAUUUUGUGGGAAAAGUGGCGACCUUCUGACGAUAGUUUCACUUUCAAUAAUUGAGUCUGUCUUCAGUAUUAGCUACCUACACUUCUAUGUGAUUGUGUAUAAACCGCAUAACAAUAAUUGGCUGCAUACUAUAGUAUGUCAUGAGCUUUCUGACUCAAUGUAACUCCUGAAAGUGAAAGCUGUUUGUAAGCUCUUGUUUUUUAAUCGGGGAAGUUAUCUG